rnacentral:rRNA from 1 species
CCCUACGGGGCGCAGCAGUAGGGAAUUUUCGUCAAUGGGCGCAAGCCUGAACGAGCAAUGCCGCGUGAACGAGGAAGGUCUUCGGAUCGUAAAGUUCUGUUGAAGGGGAAAAAGAGCGGAGAGAGGAAAUGAACUCCGAUUGAUAUUACCCUUCGAGGAAGUCACGGCUAACUACGUGCCAGCAGCCGCGGUAAUACGUAGGUGGCGAGCGUUAUCCGGAAUGAUUGGGCGUAAAGGGGGCGCAGACGGCGAUGCAAGCCAGGAGUGAAAGCCCGGGGCCCAACCCCGGGACUGCUCUUGGAACU